rnacentral:snRNA from 1 species
GCUCCCUUCAGCAGCACUAAAAUUGGAACGAUACAGAGAAGAUUAGCAUGGACCCCUGUGCAAGGAUGACAUGCAAAUUUGUGAAAUAUUCCAUAUUUUA